rnacentral:rRNA from 1 species
UACGGAGGGUGCGAGCGUUAAUCGGAAUUACUGGGCGUAAAGGGCGCGUAGGCGGUUGACUCAGUCUGAUGUGAAAGCCCCGGGCUCAACCCGGGAACGGCAUUGGAGACGGGUUGACUGGAGUGCGGUAGAGGGGGGUGGAAUUCCCGGUGUAGCGGUGAAAUGCGUAGAGAUCGGGAGGAACAUCUGUGGCGAAGGCGGCUCUCUGGACCGACACUGACGCUGAGGCGCGAAAGCGUGGGGAGCAAACAGG